UACGUAGGCAGCGAGCGUUGUUCGGAAUUACUGGGCGUAAAGAGUGUGUAGGCGGUGCUCUAAGUUCGGUGUGAAAUCUCCCGGCUUAACUGGGAGGGUGCGCCGGAAACUGGAGUGCUCGAGCGUGGGAGAGGAAAGCGGAAUUCCUGGUGUAGUGGUGAAAUGCGUAGAUAUCAGGAGGAACGCCUGCGGUGUAGACGGCUUUCUGGACCAUUGCUGACGCUGAGACACGAAAGCGUGGGUAGCAAACAGG
rnacentral:rRNA from 1 species